GAUUCAAUCCCCUGCCCCCGCCCCCCCCCACCAACCAGUGUUACACAAACCCACGGGAAACUACCUCUGGAACCGAACCGCCGGGCUGGGCCUCGAAGCGCCGGGAUCCCUCUUGCUGGGACCGCUUGGCUCAGAGCCUGUUGUAAAGAGACAUUGAUUGAAAUGGCAAAUCUAUUUAUGUAUAAAAGAUGACAAUCCGGAAACAGAGCCAGAAAUACGGCUGUGUCGGGGUGGGGCGAGAGGAGACGCCUGCCCGGGCACUGGCCUCGGACCAUGGCAUCGAACCGCUCCGGCGAGGUCUCUCCUCAGCCUUGGGAGCGGCAGCUGGGCCGCGGAGAGGUGGGAGCUGGCCCCUGUGCGCUGAGAAGAGACACGGGACCCACCGGACCGAGAGACAGAGCCGGGGAACCCGGCGUCGGAGAGAGCUGGGAGGCGGCGGGGUGAGGAGCGGGCAGUGGCUCAGCGCGGGAUGGCAUCUCAGCUCCAGCGCUGGGCACGCGGCCCCAGCAGGAGCCCGUUAGUCUGUGCAGAACGAAGAGUCGUCGCAGUGGUCUGGAAGGGGCUGGAUCUGAUGCAGGGCCCUGAGCUGCAGUGCCUGAGGGAUGCCGGCUUUCAACACAGCCUGACCUGGUGGGGAGAGCUGUGCCUGGCCCCUCCAUCUGCUGGAGAACCUAGCAAUGCCAGGCUGCAGCCAGGUCGCAGGGCAGGGGGUGGGGAGAGAGUCACGGCGGAGUGAGUGCGUAUGGGGGUCAUUGCAGCGUGGGGGUGGAAUGGUACGUGUGGGGUUCACUGCAGUGUGGGGGU
rnacentral:lncRNA from 1 species